rnacentral:rRNA from 1 species
UGAGCUUGAUCCUGGCUCAGAACGAACGCUGGCGGCAGGCUUAACACAUGCAAGUCGAGCGCCCCGCAAGGGGAGCGGCAGACGGGUGAGUAACGCGUGGGAAUCUACCCUUUUCUACGGAAUAACYCAGGGAAACUUGUGCUAAUACCGUAUGAGCCCUUCGGGGGAAAGAUUUAUCGGGGAAGGAUGAGCCCGCGUUGGAUUAGCUAGUUGGUGGGGUAAAGGCCUACCAAGGCGACGAUCCAUAGCUGGUCUGAGAGGAUGAUCAGCCACAUUGGGACUGAGACACGGCCCAAACUCCUACGGGAGGCAGCAGUGGGGAAUAUUGGACAAUGGGCGCAAGCCUGAUCCAGCCAUGCCGCGUGAGUGAUGAAGGCCCUAGGGUUGUAAAGCUCUUUCACCGGUGAAGAUAAUGACGGUAUCCGGAGAAGAAGCCCCG